CUCUCGUUCACGCUCUGCAGCCUGUCCCUGGAGCCAGCACUUAGCGGCAGCACCACGCAGGAUGCCCUUAGCCGUGUAGGGUGGGGGACAGGAGAACCAGCUGUAAAGGUUUGCUAAAUCAUCACACCCAACCACAGGAUGGGGGCCUGCAGCUCUAUGUGGAUGUACCCUACUAGCAUCAAAAAUAAGUGGAGUCAGCUCUUUCCAGACUUUAUUAAGAUUAAUUUGACUGCCAGUGUUUGCAAGAUCUGAGUUCUUAAACUCUUACCAGUUGAGGGG